rnacentral:misc_RNA from 1 species
GAUGAAGAACGUAGCGAAAUGCGAUAAGUAAUGCGAAUUGCAGAAUUCAGUGAGUCAUCGAAUCUUUGAACGCACAUUGCACCCUGUGGUAUUCCGCAGGGCAUGCCUGUUCGAGCGUCAUUUCAACCCUCAAGCCUCGCUUGGUGUUGGGCCCUGCCCGCCGCGGCCGGCCCUAAAGAUAGUGGCGGCGCCGCCUGGCCCUCAGCGUAGUACAGCUCUCGCUCCAGGGUCCGGCGGCAGCCUGCCAGAACCCCCCAACUCUGUGGUUGACCUCGGAUCAGGUAGGGAUACCCGCUGAACUUAAGCAUAUCAAUAAGCGGAGGA